GACGAACGCUGGCGGCGUGCCUAAUACAUGCAAGUAGAACGCUGAAGGAGGAGCUUGCUCUUCUGGAUGAGUUGCGAACGGGUGAGUAACGCGUAGGUAACCUGCCUGGUAGCGGGGGAUAACUAUUGGAAACGAUAGCUAAUACCGCAUAACAGUAGAUGUUGCAUGACAUUUGCUUAAAAGGUGCACUUGCAUCACUACCAGAUGGACCUGCGUUGUAUUAGCUAGUUGGUGGGGUAACGGCUCACCAAGGCGACGAUACAUAGCCGACCUGAGAGGGUGAUCGGCCAAACUGGGAAUGAGACAAGGCCCAGACUACUACGGGAGGCAGCAGGAGGGAAUCUUCGGCAAUGGACGGAAGGCUGAACGAGCAACGCCGGGGGAGUGAAGAAGGGUGUCGGAUCGGAAAGCUCUGUUGUAAGAGAAGAAAGAGUGUGAGAGUGGAAAGUUCACACUGUGACGGUAUCUUAACAGAAAGGGACGGCUAACUACGUG
rnacentral:rRNA from 1 species